rnacentral:rRNA from 1 species
GACGAACGCUGGCGGCGUGCUUAACACAUGCAAGUCGAACGGUGAAGCUCCAGCUUGCUGGAGUGGAUCAGUGGCGAACGGGUGAGUAACACGUGAGCAACCUGCCCCUGACUCUGGAAUAAGCGCUGGAAACGGCGUCUAAUACUGGAUAUGAGAAGGGUCCGCAUGGACACUUUCUGGAAAGUUUUUCGGUUGGGGAUGGGCUCGCGGCCUAUCAGCUUGUUGGUGAGGUAAUGGCUCACCAAGGCGACGACGGGUAGCCGGCCUGAGAGGGCGACCGGCCACACUGGGACUGAGACACGGCCCAGACUCCUACGGGAGGCAGCAGUGGGGAAUAUUGCACAAUGGGCGAAAGCCUGAUGCAGCGACGCCGCGUGAGGGAUGACGGCCUUCGGGUUGUAAACCUCUUUCAGCAGGGAAGAAGCGAAAGUGGCGGUACCUGCAGAAGAAGCACCGGCUAACUACGUG